rnacentral:rRNA from 1 species
UACAGAGGUCUCAAGCGUUGUUCGGAUUCAUUGGGCGUAAAGGGUGCGUAGGCGGCGCGGUAAGUCGGGUGUGAAAUCUCGGAGCUUAACUCCGAAACUGCAUUCGAUACUGCCGUGCUUGAGGACUGGAGAGGAGACUGGAAUUUACGGUGUAGCAGUGAAAUGCGUAGAGAUCAUGAGGAACGCCGGUGGCGAAAGCGGCGUGCUGGACCUCUUCUGACGCUGAGGCGCGAAAGCCAGGGGAGCGAACGGG